UACGGAGGGUGCAAGCGUUGUUCGGAAUCACUGGGCGUAAAGGGUGCGUAGGCGGGUCUUUAAGUCAGGGGUGAAAUCCUGGAGCUCAACUCCAGAACUGCCUUUGAUACUGAAGAUCUUGAGUUCGGGAGAGGUGAGUGGAACUGCGAGUGUAGAGGUGAAAUUCGUAGAUAUUCGCAAGAACACCAGUGGCGAAGGCGGCUCACUGGCCCGAUACUGACGCUGAGGCACGAAAGCGUGGGGAGCAAACGGG
rnacentral:rRNA from 1 species